rnacentral:lncRNA from 1 species
GUGAUAAUGAAUAAGUCUCAUAAGAUCUGACGGUUUUAUAAAAGGGCAAUUCCCCUGCACAUGUUUUCCUGCCUGCCACCAAGUAAGGUGUGCCUUUGCUUCUCCUUUGCCUUCUGUCAUGAAUGUGAGGCCUCCCCAGCCAUGUAGAACCCAACAAGAAAACCAACUAGACAUUUUCCUGGACCAGUAGGAUCUUCAGGCUUGAGUGGGCAGAAAUGAAGGCCCAAGGAGAAUAAGAAGAAUCAGACCUGGGCAUAAAAGUAUAUUGAAGUCUGGCUCCUGAGAGUUUGUCUUGCAUCACUUUACAUACCAAACCUCACCUACCAUAGUGAGACCUAAAUUCAAAUAAAUGAUAAAUGAAAACAGAUUUUUAAAAAAC